UGACGGUGAUCGUUGUCGCCGCGUCUUCUGUGGAACCCAAGCAGUGCCGAAGGAAGUCGCAAGGCUCUUCCCCGACCUUUUGCUCCUCUCCCUGCGCGAGACACUGGGAUUGGUGGCAUGAGUCACCAUGUCCAGCUUCUUUGUGGUUUGUUUGAUGUUUCUGUUGUCCUUAGAGACUCAUCUAAGGUAUCACUGCUUCUAGAGCCAGCGAUUGCAUAAGGCCCCUUGAUUGAAUUUAAACAGUCUCCUAGAUUGAUUCUGCCUCCCAACAAGAACAAACUGAGGAAGUGAUGAGCCACGUAGCCGGUGACCCUUAGAGUUUUAGAUGUGCGGUUCCCUUCAUGUAUACUUUACAGAAAACCAGCUAAGCCGGGCGUGGUGGCGCACGCCUUUAGUCCCAGCACUCUGGAGGCAGAGGCAGGCGGAUUUCUACAAAGUGAGGCCAGCCUGGUCUACAAAGUGAGUUCCAGGACAGCCCCAGGGCUAUACAGAGAAACCCUGUCUCAAAAAAAGAAAGAAAGAAAGAAAGAGAGAGAGAGAGAGAGAGAGAGAGAGAGAGAGAGAGAGAGAGAGAGAGAGAGAGAGAAAAGAAACCCAGCUAAAGUAGAGAAAGGUGUUUAGAAAACUUAAUGUUAACUUUUUUGUUUUAACUUUUAAUUCUUUAGGAAUGUUUCUUAAGUAGUGAUUUAUAUUAGCUACUGGGAUUAUAAUGCUAAGCU
rnacentral:lncRNA from 1 species